rnacentral:miRNA from 1 species
ACAGGUGACCAGGAGGCGAAGGAGCCAAUGCUUCAGACCUCUGACUAGGGGGAGGUGUCCAGGAGGGAGAGGCUUCUGGGGCCUUAGCUCCUAGUCCUG